rnacentral:rRNA from 1 species
UACGGAGGGUGCAAGCGUUAUCCGGAUUUACUGGGUUUAAAGGGUGUGUAGGCGGGCUUUUAAGUCAGUGGUGAAAUCUCCGGGCUCAACCCGGAAACUGCCAUUGAUACUAUUAGUCUUGAAUUUUGUUGAGGUAGGCGGAAUAAGUCAUGUAGCGGUGAAAUGCAUAGAUAUGACUUAGAACACCAAUUGCGAAGGCAGCUUACUAAGCAAAUAUUGACGCUGAGGCACGAAAGCGUGGGGUACAAACAGG